AGAGUUUGAUCCUGGCUCAGGAUGAACGCUGACAGAAUGCUUAACACAUGCAAGUCAACUUGAAUUGGGUUUUUAACUUAGAUUUGGGUGGCGGACGGGUGAGUAACGCGUAAAGAACUUGCCUCACAGCUAGGGACAACAUUUGGAAACGAAUGCUAAUACCUGAUAUUAUGAUUUUAAGGCAUCUUAGAAUUAUGAAAGCUAUACGCGCUGUGAGAGAGCUUUGCGUCCCAUUAGCUAGUUGGAGAGGUAACGGCUCACCAAGGCGAUGAUGGGUAGCCGGCCUGAGAGGGUGAACGGCCACAAGGGGACUGAGACACGGCCCUUACUCCUACGGGAGGCAGCAGUGGGGAAUAUUGGACAAUGGACCAAGAGUCUGAUCCAGCAAUUCUGUGUGCACGAUGACGUUUUUCGGAAUGUAAAGUGCUUUCAGUUGGGAAGAAAAAAUGACGGUACCAACAGAAGAAGUGACGGCUAAAUACGUG
rnacentral:rRNA from 1 species